AAAAUCAUCUACCGACAAAAACCGUAUAAUUAAUAUACCACACUGAACUGUGUGGUAUAUUAUAUACUCUAUCGCGUUCACUCAGAUCGUAUAAAUUCGUGUGCAUCACCAAGUUACCUGCCAUUCUGUACCUGGACUUCAUAGCGUCUACAUCUACCUAGUAAGCUUCUUAUGGAGCCAGUCAGCCUAGUACCGGAGGAACUACGGAGAUACGCCAUAGAUUGCCAGACCCAAGCUUAAUAAUAAAGCAACAAUGGUUGGGUUGGAACUACAACCCCAGCUCAUGACGUCUCUCAACAGAUUGAAGCUGCAGUUUGUGACCGCAAUGAAGGUUUUCAGAGAAAACAACUUUAAUUUAUUUGAAAGAUGCUGAAGGCUGCCUCGGUGUGUGAUCUUACAAGUAAAGAUGGAAUAAAAAUAAAUAUUUUAUCCUAA